rfam:Triticum urartu cultivar G1812 contig1365496, whole genome shotgun sequence.
GUCUGGAUGGCUCAGUUGGUUAGAGCGUUGGUCUCAUAGCACUAUGAGUUGCCUGUUAACAGGAAAUCCAAUCCAAAGGUCGUGAGUUCGAGCCUCACUCCGGACA